rnacentral:rRNA from 1 species
UACCAGCUCUCCGAGUGGUGUGGAUGUUUAUUUGGCCUAAAGCAUCCGUAGCUGGCUGGGCAAGUCCCCUGUUAAAUCCACCGAUUUAAUCGUUGGAAUGCGGGGGAUACUGUUCGGCUAGGGGACGGGAGAGGCAGACGGUAUUUUCGGGGUAGGGGUGAAAUCCUAUAAUCCCGGGAAGACCACCAGUGGCGAAGGCUGUCUGCUAGAACGCGCCCGACGGUGAGGGAUGAAAGCUGGGGGAGCGAACCGGAUUAGAUACCCGGGUAGUCCCAGCUGUAAACGAUGCAGGCUAGGUGUUUGGGCGGCUACGUGCCGCUCUAGUGCCGCAGGGAAGCCGUUAAGCCUGCCGCCUGGGGAGUACGGCCGCAAGGCUGAAACUUAAAGGAAUUGGCGGGGGAGCACCACAAGGGGUGAAGCUUGCGGUUU